rnacentral:rRNA from 1 species
UUAAGUGAAUAAGGGCGCACGGUGGAUGCCUUGGCACUAGGAGCCGAUGAAGGACGGGACUAACACCGAUAUGCUUUGGGGAGCUGUACGUAAGCUAUGAUCCAGAGAUUUCCGAAUGGGGGAACCCAACAUCUUUAAUAGGAUGUUACGAUUGUGUGAAUACAUAGCACAUUCGAGGUAGACGCAGAGAACUGAAACAUCUAAGUACCUGCAGGAAGAGAAAGAAAAUUCGAUUCCCUGAGUAGCGGCGAGCGAAACGGGAAAAGCCCAAACCAACAAGCUUGCUUGUUGGGGUUGUAGGACUCCAAUAUGGUAGUUCUUUCAGAUAGUCGAAUGACUUGGAAAAGUCAGUCAAAGAGGGUAAAAACCCCGUAGACGAAAUGUGGAAGACACCUAGGAGGAUCCUGAGUACGGCGGAACACGAGAAAUUCCGUCGGAAUCCGGGAGGACCAUCUCCCAAGGCUAAAUACUCCCUAGUGACCGAUAGUGAACCAGUACCGUGAGGGAAAGGUGAAAAGCACCCCGGAAGGGGAGUGAAAUAGAACCUGAAACCGUGUGCCUACAACAAGUCAAAGCCCGUUAAUGGGUGAUGGCGUGCCUUUUGUAGAAUGAACCGGCGAGUUACGAUUGCAUGCGAGGUUAAGUUGAAGAGACGGAGCCGCAGCGAAAGCGAGUCUGAAUAGGGCGUUUGAGUAUGUAGUCGUAGACCCGAAACCAUGUGAUCUACCCAUGUCCAGGUUGAAGGUGCGGUAAAACGCACUGGAGGACCGAACCCACGUACGUUGAAAAGUGCGGGGAUGAGGUGUGGGUAGCGGAGAAAUUCCAAACGAACUUGGAGAUAGCUGGUUCUCUCCGAAAUAGCUUUAGGGCUAGCCUCGGAAUUGAGAAUGAUGGAGGUAGAGCACUGUUUGGACUAGGGGCCCAUCUCGGGUUACCGAAUUCAGAUAAACUCCGAAUGCCAUUCAUUCAUAUCCGGGAGUCAGACUGUGAGUGAUAAGAUCCAUAGUCGAAAGGGAAACAGCCCAGACCACCAGCUAAGGUCCCAAAAUAUAUGUUAAGUGGAAAAGGAUGUGGGGUUGCACAGACAACUAGGAUGUUGGCUUAGAAGCAGCCACCAUUUAAAGAGUGCGUAAUAGCUCACUAGUCGAGUGACCCUGCGCCGAAAAUGUACCGGGGCUAAACAUAUUACCGAAGCUGUGGAGUACACCUUUAGGUGUAUUGGUAGGAGAGCGUUCUAAGGGCGUUGAAGGCAGAUCGUGAGGACUGCUGGAGCGCUUAGAAGUGAGAAUGCCGGUAUGAGUAGCGAAAGACAGGUGAGAAUCCUGUCCACCGAAUGACUAAGGUUUCCUGGGGAAGGCUCGUCCGCCCAGGGUUAGUCGGGACCUAAGCCGAGGCCGACAGGCGUAGGCGAUGGAUAACAGGUUGAUAUUCCUGUACCCGUUGUUUUUGUUUGAGCAAUGGAGGGACGCAGGAGGCUAAGGAAUGCAGACGAUCGGAAAUGUCUGUCCAAGCAGUAAGUCUGAAGAGGAGUCAAAUGCUUCUUUUCUUAAGGACAAGCUGUGAUGGGGAGGGAAAUAAUAGUACCGAAGUUCCUGAUGUCACACUGCCGAGAAAAGCUUCUAGUGAGAAAACAGCGGCCCGUACCGCAAACCGACACAGGUAGUCGAGGAGAGAAUCCUAAGGUGAGCGAGAGAACUCUCGUUAAGGAACUCGGCAAAAUGACCCCGUAACUUCGGGAGAAGGGGUGCUGAUCAUACGAUCAGCCGCAGUGAAUAGGCCCAAGCGACUGUUUAUCAAAAACACAGGUCUCUGCAAAAUCGUAAGAUGAAGUAUAGGGGCUGACGCCUGCCCGGUGCUGGAAGGUUAAGAGGAGUGCUUAGCGCAAGCGAAGGUACGAAUUGAAGCCCCAGUAAACGGCGGCCGUAACUAUAACGGUCCUAAGGUAGCGAAAUUCCUUGUCGGGUAAGUUCCGACCCGCACGAAAGGCGUAACGAUUUGGGCACUGUCUCAACGAGAGACUCGGUGAAAUUUUAGUACCUGUGAAGAUGCAGGUUACCCGCGACAGGACGGAAAGACCCCAUGGAGCUUUACUGUAGUUUGAUAUUGAGUGUCUGUACCGCAUGUACAGGAUAGGUAGGAGCCGUAGAAAUCGGAACGCUAGUUUCGAUGGAGGCGCUGGUGGGAUACUACCCCUGCGUUAUGGCCACUCUAACCCGCACCACUAAUCGUGGUGGGAGACAGUGUCAGAUGGGCAGUUUGACUGGGGCGGUCGCCUCCUAAAAGGUAACGGAGGCGCCCAAAGGUUCCCUCAGAAUGGUUGGAAAUCAUUCGAAGAGUGUAAAGGCAGAAGGGAGCUUGACU